rnacentral:rRNA from 1 species
AUUGAACGCUGGCGGCAGGCCUAACACAUGCAAGUCGAACGAGUGGCGGACGGGUGAGUAAUGUCUGGGAAAAUGCCUGAUGGAGGGGGAUAACUACUGGAAAAGGUAGCUAAUACCGCAUAACAUCAGAUGUGCCCAGAUGGGAUUAGCUAGUUGGUGGGGUAACGGCGCACCAAGGCGACGAUCACUAGCUGGUCUGAGAGGAGGACCAUCUACACGUGAACUGAGACACGGUCCACACGCCUACGGGAGGCAGAAGUGGGGAAUAUUGCACAAGGGGCGCAAGCCGGAGGCAGCCAUGCCGCGUGUAUGAAGAAGGCCUUCGGGUUGUAAAGUACUUUCAGCGGGGAGGCGUUACCCGCAGAAGAAGCACCGGCUAACUCCGUGCCAGCAGCCGCGGUAAUAC